GGAGUGGCAGCUGGGAAGAAAGUGGAGGAGUGGGGCAAGGAUGGCGUUGGUGGGCAUGGGGUCCAGGAAAGGCCUUGAAAACAGACAAGCAAGCUGUGUCAAAAAAGCCGUGUUUGGAAGAGAACAAUGAAACAGCAGAGAGAUGCAAGAGGAAUAGAGCAAUGACCAGUGGUGGGCUGGGAAAACCACCACUGCAGCCACCUCCAGGGAGCUGUCCGUGGGAAAAGCAUCUGCGGGAGGUCCAGCAAAGCACCGGCGACAGCCAAGAUGUGGAGCUCUUGAGCAAGAGUUGUAGCUGUGAGGAUGCCCUGCAAACGCCGGGUCAUGGAUCCUCUGCAGGCAAGUGUGUAGGGAAGUUUGACAGGAUAAUGGAUCAGCAGCACAUGGGAUGGAAUGAAGUUUGUGUCUGUGAAAAGAAAUCCUUGAGGAGAAGCGAGUCAGGACAAAAGGAGGAGAAAAGCAUGGAGUUUUCCUCAUUCACUGCUGAAAGUUGGGAGUAUUUGGGAGUAAAAUAGCUCAUCUAUGAAAUUCACAGAUUGGAGAAUUUUGCUGAGAGAAGCAGAAGAAGAGGUGUUGUGAAGGAUUAAAAAGAGUGCUCUGAGAGAUGCUACAAAGCACAUACCUUUUUCCUCCAUUAAAACAAAGUAGUAGUUCUCAA